rnacentral:misc_RNA from 1 species
UACGUAGGGGGCAAGCGUUGUCCGGAAUUAUUGGGCGUAAAGCGCGCGCAGGCGGUCCGUUAAGUCGGAUGUGAAAGCCCAGGGCUCAACCGUGGAGGGGCAUUGGAAACUGGAGGGCUUGAGUGCAGAAGAGGGAGGUGGAAUUCCAUGUGUAGCGGUGAAAUGCGUAGAGAUAGGGAGGAACACCAGUGGCGAAGGCGACUUUCUGGUCUGUAACUGACGCUGAGGCGCGAAAGCGUGGGGAGCAAACAGG